rnacentral:rRNA from 1 species
UUUGGUACCCUGGGCGCAGCCUGAUCCAGCCAUACCGCGUGGGUGAAGAAGGCCUUCGGGUUGUAAAGCCCUUUUGUUGGGAAAGAAAUCCAGCCGGCUAAUACCUGGUUGGGAUGACGGUACCCAAAGAAUAAGCACCGGCUAACUUCGUGCCAGCAGCCGCGGUAAUACGAAGGGUGCAAGCGUUACUCGGAAUUACUGGGCGUAAAGCGUGCGUAGGUGGUCGUUUAAGUCUGUUGUGAAAGCCCUGGGCUCAACCUGGGAACUGCAGUGGAAACUGGACGACUAGAGUGUGGUAGAGGGUAGCGGAAUUCCUGGUGUAGCAGUGAAAUGCGUAGAGAUCAGGAGGAACAUCCAUGGCGAAGGCAGCUACCUGGACCAACACUGACACUGAGGCACGAAAGCGUGGGGAGCAAACAGGAUUAGAUACCCUGGUAGUCCACGCCCUAAACGAUGCGAACUGGAUGUUGGGUGCAAUUUGGCACGCAGUAUCGAAGCUAACGCGUUAAGUUUCGCCG